rnacentral:rRNA from 1 species
UGAUCCUGCCAGUAGUCAUAUGCUCGUCUCAAAGAUUAAGCCAUGCAUGUCUAAGUGCAAAUACAAAUAAUGUGAAACCGCGAAUGGCUCAUUAAAUCAGUUAUGGUUCAUUGGAUAACACUCCAAGUUACUUGGAUAACCGUGGUAAUUCUAGAGCUAAUACAUGCAAACAGAGUUCCGACUCGAGAGGGGAGGAACGCUUUUAUUAGAUCAAAACCAAUCGGCCGAGGGCUUCGGCCCGAAAGUCGCAUUGCCUUUGGUGACUCUGGAUAACCACUAAGCCGAUCGCACGGUCUCGCACCGGCGACGCAUCCUUCGAACGUCUGCCUUAUCAACUGUCGAUGGUAGGCUCCGCGCCUACCAUGGUCGUAACGGGUGACGGGGAAUCAGGGUUCGAUUCCGGAGAGGGAGCCUGAGAAACGGCUACCACAUCCAAGGAAGGCAGCAGGCGCGCAAAUUACCCACUCCCGGCACGGGGAGGUAGUGACGAAAAAUAACGAUACGGGACUCAUCCGAGGCCCCGUAAUCGGAAUGAGAACAACUUAAACACUCUAUCGAGUAUCCAUUGGAGGGCAAGUCUGGUGCCAGCAGCCGCGGUAAUUCCAGCUCCAAUAGCGUAUAUUAAAGUUGUUGCGGUUAAAAAGCUCGUAGUCGGAAGUGUGUCCCACGCCCCCUGUUCGUCGCCCGUCGACGCAACUCGGGGUUUGUUAGUGGGACGUCCAGCCGGUGGGUACACCGCCUCGGCAGAGUGCGUCGAUGGUCCGUCUCGGCUUCGGUCGUUGCGGCCGCGGCCCUCUGCCGGGGGAGGAACCCAUUCUACCUGAGCGGGUGGUCUUAAACGACCGACCGCAAAGGCCGGCUCGUUUACUUUGAACAAAUUAGAGUGCUCAAAGCAGGCCCGAAAAGCCUGGAUAUUUCGCGCAUGGAAUAAUGGAAUAGGAUCUCGGUUCUAUUUUAUUGGUUUUCUGAACCAGAGAUAAUGAUUAAUAGAGACGGUCGGGGACAUUCGUAUUGCGACGUUAGAGGUGAAAUUCUUGGAUCGUCGCAAGACGAACGGAAGCGAAAGCGUUUGUCAAGGACGUUCUCGUUGAUCAAGAACGAAAGUUAGAGGUUCGAAGGCGAUCAGAUACCGCCCUAGUUCUAACCAUAAACGAUGCCAACUUGCGAUCCGCCGGUGUUCCUCCGAUGACCCGGCGGGCAGCCUCCGGGAAACCAAAGUGUUUGGGUUCCGGGGGAAGUAUGGUUGCAAAGCUGAAACUUAAAGGAAUUGACGGAAGGGCACCACCAGGAGUGGAGCCUGCGGCUUAAUUUGACUCAACACGGGAAACCUCACCAGGCCCGGACACCGGAAGGAUUGACAGAUUGAUAGCUCUUUCUUGAUUCGGUGGGUGGUGGUGCAUGGCCGUUCUUAGUUGGUGGAGCGAUUUGUCUGGUUAAUUCCGAUAACGAACGAGACUCUGGCCUGCUAACUAGUCGCUAAAAUAAAAACGGCAUCCGCAUUCGUGCUGCCGGCGACGCAAUAAAACUCUUCUUAGAGGGACAGGCGGCUUCUAGCCGCACGAGAUUGAGCAAUAACAGGUCUGUGAUGCCCUUAGAUGUUCUGGGCCGCACGCGCGCUACACUGAAGGGAUCAACGUGUGUCUCCCCUAGGCCGAGAGGCCCGGGUAACCCGCUGAACCCCCUUCGUGCUAGGGAUUGGGGCUUGCAAUUCUUCCCCAUCAACGAGGAAUUCCCAGUAGGCGCGAGUCAUAAGCUCGCGCCGAUUACGUCCCUGCCCUUUGUACACACCGCCCGUCGCUACUACCGAUUGAAUGAUUUAGUGAGGUCUUCGGACCGCCGCGCUCCCUCUCGCGCCCGUCAAACGGCCGUCUUGGAGAUGUCGACGGAAAGAUGAUCAAACUUGAUUAUUUAGAGGAAGUAAAAGUCGUAACAAGGUUUCCGUA